GACAGAGGGGGCAAGCGUUGCUCGGAAUCACUGGGCGUAAAGGGCGCGUAGGCGGGAUGGCAAGUCGGUCGUGAAAUCCUUCGGCUCAACCGAAGAACGUCGGCCGAUACUGCCGUUCUUGAGGGAUGCAGAGGAGAUUGGAAUUCCCGGUGUAGCGGUGAAAUGUGUAGAGAUCGGGAGGAACACCGGUGGCGAAGGCGGGUCACUGGCCCGAUACUGACGCUGAGGCACGAAAGCGUGGGGAGCAAACAGG
rnacentral:rRNA from 1 species